rnacentral:rRNA from 1 species
AUUGAACGCUGGCGGCAGGCCUAACACAUGAAAGUCGAACGAGUGGCGGACGGGUGAGUAAUGUCUGGGAAACUGCCCGAUGGAGGGGGAUAACUACUGGAAACGGUAGCUAAUACCGCAUACCAUCGGAUGUGCCCAGAUGGGAUUAGCUAGUAUGUGGGGGAACGGAUCACCUAGGCAACGAUCCCUAGCUGGUCUUAGAGGAUGACCAGCCACACUGGAACUGAGACUCGGUCAUGACUCCUACGGGAGGCAGAAGUGGGGAAUAUUGCCCAAUGGGCGCAAGCCUGCUGCAGCCAUGCCGCGUGUAUGAAGAAGGCGUUCGGGUUGUAAAGUACUUUCAGCGAGGAGGCGUUACUCGCAGAAGAAGCCCCGGCUAACUCCGUGCCAGCAGCCGCGGUAAUAC